rnacentral:rRNA from 1 species
GUGGGGAAUAUUCCGCAAUGGACGAAAGUCUGACGGAGCAACGCCGCGUGAGUGAUGAAGGUUUUCGGACUGUAAAGCUCUGUUGUUUGGGACGAAAGUGCCUGUUGCGAACAGUUACGGGUAUUGACGGUACUAAACGAGGAAGCCACGGCUAACUACGUGCCAGCAGCCGCGGUAAUACGUAGGUGGCAAGCGUUGUCCGGAAUUAUUGGGCGUAAAGAGCAUGUAGGCGGGAAUCUAAGUCUGUUGUUAAAAUGUGGGGCUCAACCCCGUAUUGCGAUGGAAACUGGGUUUCUUGAGUGCAGGAGAGGAAAGGGGAAUUCCCAGUGUAGCGGUGAAAUGCGUAGAUAUUGGGAGGAACACCAGUGGCGAAGGCGCCUUUCUGGACUGUGUCUGACGCUGAGAUGCGAAAGCCAGGGUAGCGAACGGGAUUAGAUACCCCGGUAGUCC